rnacentral:rRNA from 1 species
GACGUAGGGCGCGAGCGUUGUCCGGAUUUACUGGGCGUAAAGAGCGCGCAGGCGGUUGAUCAAGUCGAGUGUGAAAGCCCCCGGCUCAACUGGGGAGGGUCAUUCGAUACUGAUCGACUCGAAGGCAGGAGAGGGUAGUGGAAUUCCCGGUGUAGUGGUGAAAUGCGUAGAUAUCGGGAGGAACACCAGUGGCGAAGGCGACUACCUGGCCUGUUCUUGACGCUGAGGCGCGAAAGCUAGGGGAGCAAACGGG